GGGAAGUCCAGAGCUUCAGAUCAGAGUGCUGUGGCCUACCACAACAUGUUUGAAAACAUGAAGCACAGAACUGUCGCCACAGGAGACAAGCACCACCAACUAUGUCACAACUGGCUUGGCCCGCAAUGAAUGUUACAUAGAACUGGAAACAAUUUCCCAAUUAUAAGCACAAGAGAUUCUCAGAUGCUGGAAAUCCAGAGUUACACAUGCAAAAUGCUGGACGAACCCAGCAGAUUGGGCAGCGUCGAUGGAGAGGAAUAAACAGUCAACAUUUCAGGCCGAGGCCCUUCCUCAAGACUGAAAGGUGCUGCCUGACUUGCUGAGUUCCUCCAGAAUUUUGUGUGUAUUCCCCAAGAUUUUCAACAUCUGCAGAAUCUCUUAGAUUGGACAAACUCGGAAUAUUUUCUCUGGAGUUUCAGAUACUGAGGCUUGAGCACGAAAUGUCCACUCUUUCUUCCUUUCCAUAGAUGCUGCCUGGCAGAAUAACUCUACAUGUUUGGCAAAAUGAGUGCAAGUGGCAAUUGAUCUUUUAUAAGAUUUCAUGAUUCGUUUCAACUUUUAUCUCACUUUUCUUGACCGUUGCUGCAUUGGAAUAAAGUUUAAAUUGAUUGAAUAUAUUUCUCAUAGAUCCAAUAAAUUCAGAACUUGUAUUUUAUUUCCAAUUGUUUUCAAUGUUUAGUUUUGAAGUUGGGUUGUCUAAAGUUAUUGGCAAGUCGAUUUGUCAUUAAAGUAAUACGUUUCGAAUGAUAAAACAUUCACACGUUCAAUGGUUCCUUUUAAUAUCAGAAAAUGUGUACAGUGUACAACCUGAAAUUCUUACUCUCUGCAGAAAUCUACAAAACAGAAGAAAAACUCCAAAGAAUGAAUGACAGAAAAAAACGUUAGAACCCCCAAGCUCCCCUCACACGCACAAGCAACAACGCAUCCAACCUCCCCUCGCCUCCCCUCCCCUCAAAUGCCUCAGUGAGAGGGGAGGCCAACAGCUGGCUGUUUCGAUGUUACAGUCUGCCA